GGAGAGGUGGCAGAGUGGUCUAAUGCAGCCGCCUUGAAAGCGGCCGAACCGCAAGGUUCCGUGAGUUCGAAUCUCACCCUCUCCGCCA
rnacentral:tRNA from 1 species